UAUAUGGGCAACAUAAAUUAGACUUGAUGGUGAAAAAGGCCUUCAUCUGGAACCCGACAAUCACACCUGACCCCCUUAUGACUGACAGCGUCCAUAACAGGCGGGCUGCUAUUGCUCUGAAGAGGAAGAAACUCACUUUCUAGGAUUUGAUAGGAUUGGCCCACAGGAUUUGGAAAGCGAGUGAGAAAAACAUCAUUACACGCCAAGACCCUUCUCUCUAGUUUGAUAGAUGUGUAUAAUAAACCAGGAGGGGCACCUUAA
rnacentral:lncRNA from 1 species